rnacentral:rRNA from 1 species
AUCGAACGCUGGCGGCAGGCUUAACACAUGCAAGUCGAGCGAGCGGCGGACGGGUGAGUAAUGUCUGGGCAACUGCCUGAUGGAGGGGGAUAACUACUGGAAACGGUAGCUAAUACCGCAUACCAUCAGAUGUGCCCAGAUGGGAUUAGCUAGUAGGUGGGGUAAUGGCUCACCUAGGCGACGAUCCCUAGGUGGUCUGAGAGGGUGACCAGCGAGACUGGAACUGAGACACGGCCCAGACGCCUGCGAGAGGCAGCAGUGGGGAAUAUUGCACCAUGGGGGCAAGCCUGAUACAGCCAUGCCGCGUGUGUGAAGAAGGCCUUCGGGUUGUAAAGCACUUGCAGCGAGGAGGCGUUACUCGAAGAAGAAGCACCGGCUAACUCCGUGCCAGCAGCCGCGGUAAUAC